GUUUGAUCAAUGUUCUGCUUGCCUGGUGGUACCACCUAAAUUCUCAUUUGCAGCUGUCACUUUUUAGGGAAUUGCAAACUCUCAGAUCAUUAAAGUGGCAUGCCAUGUGACUCACAUUUGACAGACAAUCGCUUACUAAAAAUAUCUGUCCUGAUCAGUGCUGAUGUUCUAAAAGGAUAUUUUCAGCUUCUUGUUCUCUCUGCCUUUCUGUGAUGACACUGUACCCGGUGAGUUAAAAGCAACAGAAGAAAGAGCAUCAUUAAAGGCAGCAGGUUAUUGUAGAACAUGGCCUGCCAAUGGGGAUUUGGGUCGGAAGCAGGAGCUCAUGCAGCCCUGUAAAGAUCCAUGCAUCAAGAAGAGCUACAUCCAAGGAAACUCAUCCAUGCCUGGACUUAAUUUAUAUAAUGAAAUUCUGAACUUUCAAUAGAUGCUGUAAUAGGAUGAGAGUUUUGGAGAUCUUGGGAGGGAAUGAAUGUGUUUUGCAUGGGGAAGGGACAUGAAUCACUGAAGCCCAGAUGAUGGACAAUGGCUGACAGACUCUAAAAAUGGCCCCAUGAUCUCCACCUCCUGGUAUCCAUACCUCUACAAUCCCUUCCCCUUAUUCAAUAGAGUACAAAAGAAGGAUAGGAUUUCACUUCUGUUAUUACAUUACAUACAACUGUAGUACCUGUCUUGCUGGAAGACUUCCCCUUUCCUGGCUUUAAAGAAAAAAGUUACAAAUUGUGAACAGCUGUCCCCUGUAGAAGCCAUGUUACAAUGAACUGAGGAAAGCCACCGGCCAACAUCCAGCAAGAAUCUGAGGCCCUCAGUCCGCAUUCCUCAAGAAACUGAAUGCUGCUGACAAAAAUACAAGAGGAAGUGGAUCCAUCCCCAAUCAAGCCUCCAGAAAAGAACACGGUCUUGGCCAAAACCUUGAUGGUAACCUUGGAGAAGACUCAGCUAAGCUGUGCCUGGAUUUCUGACUCACUGAAACUGUGGGAUAAUAAAUGUGUGUUAUUUUCAGCCAAUAAAUUUGCAGUAAUGUUAUUAUGCAGCAAAAGUUAACUAAUUUAUUAUCUUUCAGUACCUUAUCCUUGAUUGAUGUUUGUUCUGUAUAAAAUUGCAUACUUAAAAUAUAUAAUUUUUACUCAAAAUUUUGAAAAAUAAUAGUAUCUUCUAACCCAUAAUGUUGAUAUUUAGAAAUCUGAUACAUUAUAAUUUUUGAACCCUUGUAUCUGGUCUCUCUCUUUUUUUCCUAUUAUAAGCCUCUAGGAUUUUUGCUUGAUGCCAAAUGUUUAAAAAGGUAAUGUUCAUUGAUGCAGGUCAUUUGGGUGGCCUCUGCCAAUUUAGAAACAGAUGUCCAUCAGUU
rnacentral:lncRNA from 1 species